GAAGAGCAAGAAAAAAAAAAAAAAAAAAAAAAAAAAAAAAAAA
rnacentral:ribozyme from 1 species